CCCUUACUGCUCAGUAACACGUAGUCAACCUGCCCUUGGGUCGAGAACAAUCUCGGGAAACUGAGGCUAAUUCUCGAUAAAUCAAGAUUCCUGGAAUGGGUUUUGGUCAAAAUGAUGUAACAGCAUCUUGUUAUUUUCGCCCGAGGAUGGGACUGCGGCCGAUCAGGCUGUUGGUGAGGUAAAGGCUCACCAAACCAGUAACCGGUACGGGCUUUGAGAGAAGGAGCCCGGAGAUGGACACUGAGACAAGGGUCCAGGUCCUACGGGGCGCAGCAGGCGCGAAACCUUCGCAAUGCGCGCAAGCGCGACGAGGUUAUUCCGAGUGAUUUCCGCUGAGGAAAUCUUUUCUCAGAUCUAAAAUGUCUGGGGAAUAAGGGGAGGGCAAGUCUGGUGUCAGCCGCCGCGGUAAUACCAGCUCCUCGAGUGGUCAGGGCGUUUAUUGGGCCUAAAGCAUCCGUAGCCGGCUCAGUAGGUCUCCUGUUAAAUCCAACGGCUCAACUGUUGGUCUGCAGGAGAUACCACUGGGCUAGGAGGCGGGAGAGGCGGACGGUACUCCGAGGGUAGGGGUAAAAUCCUUUGAUCCCCGGAAGACCACCAGUGGCGAAGGCGGUCCGCCAGAACGCGCUCGACGGUGAGGGAUGAAAGCUGGGGGAGCGAACCGGAUUAGAUACCCGGGUAGUCCCAGCUGUAAACGAUGCGAGCUAGGUGACACAAGGCCUUCGGGGCCUUGUGGUGCCGCAGGGAAGCCGUUAAGCUCGCCGCCUGGGGAGUACGGACGCAAGUCUGAAACUUAAAGGAAUUGGCGGGGGAGCACAAGGG
rnacentral:rRNA from 1 species